UACCAGCACCCCUAGUGGUCGGGACGAUUAUUGGGCCUAAAGCAUCCGUAGCCGGUUCUACAAGUCUUCCGUUAAAUCCACCUGCUUAACAGAUGGGCUGCGGAGGAUACUAUAGAGCUAGGAGGCGGGAGAGGCAAGCGGUACUUAGUGGGUAGGGGUAAAAUCCGUUGAUCCAUUGAAGACCACCAGUGGCGAAGGCGGCUUGCCAGAACGCACUCGACGGUGAGGGAUGAAAGCUGGGGGAGCAAACCGG
rnacentral:rRNA from 1 species